GCGGUCGACCAGCGGCCUGUCUGCUUCUCGCGCCCACACGGCUACGUGCUGCUUGUCCCUUCGUCUCAUUUCGCACCCGGUAGGCGACCCAUCACGGUGCAUCCGACUUGUUGCCUGGAGCAGCAUACCGGAUUCUUCUGGAAGGACCACAGCCACUGAAUGCUGCUAUAGGCGUCACCCUCCUCCCGCUGCCUCCCAUGUCGGAGGGCAGGCACUAGCAAGCUUCGUGCCGCGCACAGCCCCUGUACUGUGGACGUACCCGAGCUGUCCGCUCUUCCACAGACUCCGUCAAGUAUUCUUCAGGGAAUGAACGCUAUGCUGCUGGGUGGCGGCAAGCCCUUGCGGAUGCUGUGCGGAUCCCCUCACUUGCUCGUUUCAAUUAAGGCGUCUACUAAGAACCACGCUGCCGUCUGGGUAGACAAGCCUUCUGCCUCGCUCUUGGAAUAGGGAUCCCAAAA
rnacentral:misc_RNA from 1 species